UACAUCCGGGUUCUUCGACGGGCGUGACUUGUACGCAGUUCAGAUUGUACCCUGAAAUCUGGUGACCUUUUGCUUUCGCUGCUGUGGAAUAUUUCGUUUACUGGAUUAUAUUCGACGAACUACCGGAUUACUGAUUUGUGUGAAUAACUAUUAGUAACCCAGUGCUACGAAAAACAUGGAUGAAAAACAAGCUGUAACUGGUCAGCCUCCAGCAGGACAACAGCCUGGUGAUACCCAGAUGACAGUGUGGAUGCCACCACCAAUGGCACCAUUAGGUUGUCCCCCAGGAUUGGAGUAUCUCACUCAAAUUGACCAGUUAUUGAUUCAUCAAGUUGUGGAGUUGUUUGAAG